AUUGAACGCUGGCGGCAGGCUUAACACAUGCAAGUCGAGCGGGGUGAUGGUGCUUGCACUAUCACUUAGCGGCGGACGGGUGAGUAAUGCUUAGGAAUCUGCCUAUUAGUGGGGGACAACAUCUCGAAAGGGAUGCUAAUACCACAUACGUCCUACGGGAGAAAGCAGGGGAUCACUUGUGACCUUGCGCUAAUAGAUGAGCCUAAGUCGGAUUAGCUAGUUGGUGGGGUAAAGGCCUACCAAGGCGACGAUCUGUAGCGGGGCCGGGAGGAUGAUCCGCCACACUGGGACUGAGACACGGCCCAGACUCCUACGGGAGGCAGCAGUGGGGAAUAUUGGACAAUGGGGGGAACCCUGAUCCAGCCAUGCCGCGUGUGUGAAGAAGGCCUUAUGGUUGUAAAGCACUUUAAGCGAGGAGGAGGCUCUUUUGGUUAAUACCCAAGAUGAGUGGACGUUACUCGCAGAAUAAGCACCGGCUAACUCUGUGCCAGCCGCCGCAGUAA
rnacentral:rRNA from 1 species